GCCACCAUAAGCUGUGUUUGAACUCUUGUGAGAUCGUCCCUGAAACUCCAGAGCUCUAGAAAAUCUUAUGAGUAUUGAACUAUAUAGAACAAAAAGAUUUUAACUAGUGAAACUGAGCUCAUCUUCAGGUACCUUUCAGGGUCUGUCUUAAAGCUCAGAUUUGGCAUUGGAAUAUAGAGCAUGAGCUGCAUCCUGAUCUGUGUUGGAGGAUCCCCAAAUCCAUCUUCUUGUGCAGCAUAGCCAUCCAUCCAAUGUGGGAGGUUGCAGCAGUCAUCGCUAUUUUUCAGCAGAUGGACUUGUUUUGCAAAGCAGAACAUUGGUGUUGCCCAAAUAAACAGUUAAAAUGCAAUGAAUUCAGAAGCAGCUAUUCUACAGGAGCCUAAUGCAAGUUGUCUUAAAAGCACCUGAUUUUAGGGAGUGGAAGCUCAUGGCUAGCACUUUGUGAAAAUGAGGAAGGUAACUGAAGCAUUCAAAGUAACUCAUCUGUUUUCAAGAAUCUUGGCUUAAAACAUCUCAUUUUUUUUGGUAUUCUAUUUCCAUUUAAGUAAAUGCUUUACUUGCCCUGGGGAUACUGCGUGUUGCACAUCCUUCAUGCUAAAAAGUAGUUCACACAGAACAAAAAUGAAAACUAAGGCCGCUUCAGAAUUUUCCAUCAAAAUUGACCCGUGAUAAAUACUGUGUUUUCAACUCAAUAAGGGCAAAAUAGAUUUUCUCCCACUCCAGACCACUUUUACAGGGG
rnacentral:lncRNA from 1 species